rnacentral:rRNA from 1 species
ACUACGAGCCAAGCUUAAAACCCAAAGGACUUGACGGUACCCCAUAUCCCCCUAGAGGAGCCUGUUCUGUAAUCGAUAAUCCACGUUUAACCUCACCAUUUUUAGUUAAUCAGCCUGUAUACCUCCGUCGUCAGCUUACCACGUGAGCGUUAGUAAGUGAGCCCAAUGUAUUUCACCAAAACGUCAGGUCAAGGUGCAGUAAAUGAGAUGGAAAGAGAUGGGCUACACUUUCUACUUUAGAAAAAAACGAAAAACUACCUAUGAAAUCUAGUUAGAAGGCGGAUUUAGUAGUAAGAAGGAAUCAGCAUGUCCAUUUUAACCCGGCA